UACGUAGGGUGCAAGCGUUAAUCGGAAUUACUGGGCGUAAAGCGUGCGCAGGCGGUUUUGUAAGUCUGAUGUGAAAUCCCCGGGCUCAACCUGGGAAUUGCAUUGGAGACUGCAAGGCUAGAAUCUGGCAGAGGGGGGUAGAAUUCCAGGUGUAGCAGUGAAAUGCGUAGAGAUGUGGAGGAACACCGAUGGCGAAGGCAGCCCCCUGGGUCAAGAUUGACGCUCAUGCACGAAAGCGUGGGGAGCAAACAGG
rnacentral:rRNA from 1 species